rnacentral:lncRNA from 1 species
ACACUUAAAGUAUCUAUUAAAAUUAGGACUCACAGAUAAGAGGUUUUAAGGUCAGUGUGAACAGUGUUUCGUUUACUUGUUUACAGGAGAUACGACAAGAUGUGGAAAAUUUACGUGUUUGUGACUGGAAUUGCACUUCUUGGACUUGCAAUGGGUCAGCUCCUGACGCCGACGAUGGUGUGUGAAAUGCAGCAGAUGAAGCUGAAAGGGUUGGACAGUGGUGUAUCUUACAGUGAUCUAGAAAUGCAGGAAAUAAGGGACUACUGUCUUAAACAUACAUAUGACAACAUUGGAACACUCGGAUGAUGACUGCUUUGAUAUAAAAUCUGACCUGUCAAAUCAUGGUCAAUUAAAGUAAUUG